GAUGAAGCACGUAGCGAAAUGCGAUAAGUAGUGUGAAUUGCAGAAUUCAGUGAAUCAUCGAAUCUUUGAACGCACAUUGCGCCCCUUGGUAUCCCGAGGGGCAUGCCUGUUCGAGCGUCAUUUCACCACUCAAGCCUGGCUUGGUGUUGGGCGACGUCCUCUUUGGGGACGCGCCUCGAAACGCUCGGCGGCGUGGCACCGGCUUUAAGCGUAGCAGAAUCUUUCGCUUUGGAAGUCGGGGCCCCGUCUGCCGGAAGACCUGCUCGCAAGGUUGACCUCGGAUCAGGCAGGGAUACCCGCUGAACUUAAGCAUAUCAAUAAGCGGAGGA
rnacentral:misc_RNA from 1 species